rnacentral:rRNA from 1 species
UAUUGUUCUUCAACGAGGAAUCCCUAGUAAGCACAAGUCAUCAGUUUGUGCUGAUUACGUCCCUGCCCUUUGUACACACCGCCCGUCGCUACUACCGAUUGAAUGGCUUAGUGAGGCCCUCGGAUUGGGUUUCGAAGACUGGCAACAGUCUUUGGAUUCUAAGAAGUUGGUCAAACUUGGUCAUUUAGAGGAAGUAAAAGUCGUAACAAGGUUUCCGUAGGUGAACCUGCGGAAGGAUCAUUACCGAUUUGAGCGAGCCUGGUCUUUUUGAUUAUGGUCUCGCGAAACUUUGUAUUUAAAACCCCACUCUUGUUAAUUAUAAAACAAUAUUAUAUUAUGAUAAAUAAAGAUCACUUUCAACAACGGAUCUCUUGGCUCUCGCAUCGAUGAAGAACGUAGCGAAGUGCGAUAAGUAAUGUGAAUUGCAGAAUUCCGUGAAUCAUCGAAUCUUUGAACGCAAAUUGCACUCUCUGGUAUUCCGGAGAGUAUGCCUGUUUGAGGGUCAGUUUAAAUAAAAAUCGAAGUGUUGCUUUUUGUGACGCAUCGGAAUUGGGUUAUCUUUGAUCUUGAAUAAAGGUUUAAGAGACCUAAAAUUGACAUAUUUGCGCAUCUCAGACGUACAUAAAGAAUAUUUUUUUAUCCGUCCAGAGUUGCCAACUCUUAUUAGGUAUGACCAUGUUGUUUGUGGCAUUGUACCUAUAAUAUUACUCAUAUUUUGACCUCAAAUCAGGUAGGAAUACCCGCUGAACUUAAGCAUAUCAAUAAGCGGAGGAAAAGAAAAUAACAAUGAUUCCCCUAGUAACUGCGAGUGAAGAGGGAUAAGCUCAAAUUUUAAAUCUGUUGGGUUUUACCUAACCGAGUUGUAAUUUGAAGAGGCGUUUUCCGCGUUUUUUGGUUAGUCCAAGUCCUUUGGGAUAAGGCAUCAUGGAGGGUGAGAAUCCCGUUCGGCUAACCGAAAUUCGUUUUAUGAUACGUCUUCUAAGAGUCAAGUUGUUUGGGAUUGCAGCUUAAAAUGGGAGGUAAAUUUCUCCUAAGGCUAAAUAUUGGCGAGAGACCGAUAGCGAACAAGUACCGUGAGGGAAAGAUGAAAAGUACUUUGAAAAGAGAGUUAAAAAGUACGUGAAAUUGUUGAAAGGGAAACGCUUGAAGCCAUGCAGGCCUUCUGGGGCAACCUGGUUGGCUGGCCAACAUCAGUUUGAUUUGCUGGACAAUGUUAUCAGGAAGGUAGGUGAUCUUCGGAUCACUGUUAUAGACUGGUAUCAAUACAGUGGAUUGGACUGAGGACAGCGGCGCGAGCUUUUAGCUGCGAGUCUGUUCGCUGGGAGGAUACCGCUUAUAGACAGCUUGCUGACUAUGAGUGAGUACUCCGACCACCCGUUCAGCGCUUGUCACACGCGCCAAGGAUGUUGGUAGAAAUCGGCUUUAAACGACCCGUCUUGAAACACGGACCAAGGAGUCUAACAUGUGUGCGAGUGUU